rfam:Picea glauca, whole genome shotgun sequence.
GCAAUGGUGUCUUUAGACACCACCACUACUUUCAGAUCCUCUAUU